UUUUGUUUGUUCAUCCUGUUUUGACCUCCAGACUCCUCCAUCUCAUCCCACCAACUCUGUCAGUCCACCAGGCCACUGCAGUAACAGCCACAUCUUCACGUCACGUAGCUUCAGUACCAUCUCAUCCCACCAACCCUGUCAGUCCACCAGGCCACUGCAGUAACAGCCACAUCUUCACGUCACGUAGCUUCAGUACCAUCUCAUCCCACCAACCCUGUCAGUCCACCAGGCCACUGCAGUAACAGCCACAUCUUCACGUCACGUAGCUUCAGUACCAUCUCAUCCCACCAACCCUGUCAGUCCACCAGGCCACUGCAGUAACAGCCACAUCUUCACGUCACGUAGCUUCAGUACCAUCUCAUCCCACCAACCCUGUCAGUCCACCAGGCCACUGCAGUAACAGCCACAUCUUCACGUCACGUAGCUUCAGUACCAUCUCAUCCCACCAACCCUGUCAGUCCACCAGGCCACUGCAGUAACAGCCACAUCUUCACGUUACGUAGCUUCAGUACCAUCUCAUCCCACCAACUCUGUCAGUCCACCAGGCCACUGCAGUAACAGCCACAUCUUCACGUUACGUAGCUUCAGUACCAUCUCAUCCCACCAACCCUGUCAGUCCACCAGGCCACUGCCGUAACAGCCAUAUCUUCACAUCUCAAAGCUUCAGUACCAUCUCAAUGUGUUGAAGUACCAUCCAGGAUCCUGUGGCAACGUCAAUAUGAAACAGCAUUGACCCGUGAUCACCACCAACCAGGGCUCCACAGCGCUAGCCUUGGACACCCAGUGAAACAGCACUGACCCGUGAUCACCACCAACCAGGGUUCCACAGCGGUUGUCUUGGACACCCAAGUGAAACUGCACUGACCCGUGAUCACCACCAACCAGAGCUCCACAGCGGUUGUCUUGGACACCCAGUGAAACUGCACUGACCCGUGAUCACCACCAACCAGGGCUCCACAGCGGUUGCCUUGGACACCCAGGCUUCACUCGUCAAAAGGACAUUUGGAAGGAUCCCAUUGAGCAAAGUAAACAACGAUAUGUUUUUUCAUGUCUUUUGCUCGUAGGGAUGACUUCCCAAGAGAGCACACCAGGCAGCAUGGAGCACAUUGAUGUGAUUGGCUGUUCAGCAGGAAGUUUAAUCUGGCCACACAGAAGGGAUGAUGAAUCUGACAGAGAAUGGUUUUUUAAAAUAAAUAUUUAAAAAAGA